GCAAACUUGGUCAUUUAGAGGAAGUAAAAGUCGUAACAAGGUUUCCGUAGGUGAACCUGCGGAAGGAUCAUUACUGUAAGGGCCCCGCCCUUGCUGAGAUUGAACCCUUUGUCUUUGGAUACCCACCGUUUCCUCGGCAGGCUCGCCUGCCAACGGGGACCCCCAAACCCUUUUGUAGUUGCAGUACCCGUCAAAUACACAAUCAAUCAAAACUUUCAACAACGGAUCUCUUGGUUCUGGCAUCGAUGAAGAACGCAGC
rnacentral:misc_RNA from 1 species